rnacentral:tRNA from 1 species
GAGGGUAUAGCUCAGUGGUUGAGUGCCUGCUCAGCAUGCAUGAGGUCCUGGGUUCAAACCCCAGUAUUUCCA